GGGGAUUUGGCGCAGUGGUAGCGCGUUUGCUUUGCAUCUUGCUAUUGCAUAAGGUCGUGGGUUCAAGCCCCACAAUCUCCA